rnacentral:tRNA from 1 species
UCCCUUGUAGCUUAGUCAGUGAAGAAUCUGCCUGCAAUGCAGGAGACCCGGGUUCAGUUCCUGGUUUGGGAA